AGUGAACGCUGGCGGCGUGCCUAAUACAUGCAAGUCGAACGAUGAAGUCCUAGCUUGCUCGGAUGGAUUAGUGGCGCACGGGUGAGUAAUAUAUAGUUAAUCUGCCCUACACAGAGGAACAACAGUUGGAAACGGCUGCUAAUACCUCAUACUCCUAUUUGACAUAAGUUAAAUAGGGAAAGUCUUUUCGGUGUAGGAUGAGACUAUAUCGUAUCAGCUAGUUGGUAAGGUAAUGGCUUACCAAGGCUAUGACGCGUAACUGGUCUGAGAGGAUGAUCAGUCACAUUGGAACUGAGACACGGUCCAAACUCCUACGGGAGGCAGCAGUAAGGAAUAUUGCGCAAUGGGGGAAACCCUGACGCAGCAACGCCGCGUGGAGGAUGACACUUUUCGGAGCGUAAACUCCUUUUAUCAGGAAAGAAUAAUGACGGUACCUGAUGAAUAAGCACCGGCUGACUCCGUG
rnacentral:rRNA from 1 species